GACGCUGCUUGGCACCAUGCCAGCGCACCUGCUAUUUUGCGCACCUGCUAUUUAAGUGGAGGAGACAAAUCUGCUCCCUCCCCCUCCGCUUCUCCUUUGUGGCCGCGUGGAUUGUUUGGCGUGGCAGCUCGCGCAUCACACUCUCUACCAGACAGCUGACGCCCGGUGCGUUUGAGGAGGAUUGGCUCCUCCGGAGGUUCCCGGUCUUGCAGUGUUGCAACUAUUGGUGCUGUGGGCUCGAGGCGGCAAACCCAAUCCCUGGUGGUGGUGUUCUUCACGUGUCCGUUUUGUUUGGUGUGCAGUGUCACGGGUGAUUUUGAUUUGACCCCUUCCUCCCCGUUUUGUUAAUUGCCGCCGUGGUAAGCCCCAGCACUGUCCUUCUCCCUCCUCCCUG